AAGGCCCUGACUGGAGGCCAGCAGUACUAUUACAGCGGUUGGUUUCAUGCAGCCGCUCCAAGGACUGUCUUCCUGUGGUCUGUUGGCUGUUCUGGAACCUCAGUAGAGAAUGGCUCUUUCAUUGGAAGAAACAGUG
rnacentral:snoRNA from 1 species